AACAACUCAAAGAAAGAUGAUACCGAAUGGACAUUAGGACAAAUUGGAAACAGCACCAAAGAAGAGGUUACUGCACAAUCAGCUUUAGCAUUAUUGCAAGGCUUCUUCACUUAAGCAAAUGAUGAGGUAUCACUUGCAUAGAAAAUUAGAAAUAGAGUUAAGAUAACAUCGCCAGGCCCAGUAAAAGCAACAAAUACUCAAAAUGAUAUGAAAUACACUACUCAAAAAGCAUCUUGACCAUUACUAUGUCCAGGUGGGUUAAAAUCAGCCCUAAUCUCAGUGAUAAUGAUCCAUAGAGGCCCAGCCAACAGUCAGCUGUGUGCGAUGCCAGAGCGAUCCUCUAGCUGCAGGCAUGAAAAUGAACUAGAAACUUUUUGCCAUGUCCCUGAAACUACAUCUCCAUAAAAAGUAGCAUUGUUUCUAGUUUCAGUCUAGCAAAACUCUACUCUGAAAACAAGCGUCAAAACUAUGGAGAUUCAUUCCUAGCAAUUUUGAUCAAUUAGAUUAAGCAGAUGAAUAUGCCAAUUUCUGGUGGUAUACAUAGUCUUAUGCACUGCAAGUAUAUAUCUACAGAAAACUCUAUUAAUAAGCCAGAGCAAUAAAGUUAUUUGCAGCAGCAAAUUGGUUAUUGAGCCAGCCAAUAAGAGAUGGCAAAGUUGAAUUCCCCCAGAUAAAGAUUUAUCAUGGAAUUCAAUAGCAAAAACGUUGGGGGUGGUGGGGGGGCGCAAAAAAAAAACACAUUCCAGUGAUAUCCUUGUAAAAACAAACAAUCAAAAAAAUUAAUUUUGACCAAGGAUCUUGAAGCAAGAACAAUAAUCAAAUAAAGAAAAAACUUAGUUUCGUUCAUACCAAGACAACUUCAGAGAGGAUAAGGACUUGCAUAUCUUCAAAUUGUGCUGGAAAUUAGAAAACCCAAAAAUAUCCUCACAAAAUACAGCAAAUAUUUGUUCAGCAUUCACAAAAUCGAAUUGAAAACGAAACACAGCCAAACGAACCAGCUCCAACAAUUUCAACACCGUUAUUACACAUUAACUGAGAUUUGAUUAUCCACAUGAAAGCCCUAAACGACAUAUAAAACGCAGCGUUUUUUUGUUGUUGUAAGAAAAGAAAAGAGGUAAAAGGAAUUGAUUAAUAUAACAAUUCAGAUACCAAAGGAAGGGCAGGCGAUGGAUCAAACGAUGUCGUCGGGAGCGUGGGAGUUGCUGGUGAGCGUAAGAGGGCGAUCCUUCGCCUCAUCCUCCUCGUCGUCGUCGGGAUCGGUUGUAGUGAGAUUGACGCAAGAGCAUCGUUCGAGGGACGCGAAGAAGGCGGAGACUACAGUGGCGCUCACCCAGCUUGCCACGUUGCCCAAGCUGUCUCGCGAUAUUAUGCUGUUACUGGGGUUGUUAUCUUCCAUUACGAAUUAGAUUUUAGAAUUUUGUGAGAUAUGAAAAUGAAAAUUGGGUAUUUGCUUUUUGAUUUGGGAUUUGGAUGAAUUGUUUGGAAUUGCGGAUAAAAUAAGAACGGACCCAAUUGUCAGAGACUUGGAAUUAGACCCUGAGAUUUGAGAUUUCAUUAUUUAUAUAUAUAUAUAGAUUUUAGGUAACUCUCCCUCAUCCACUGUCCAAUCAUAAAUCAUAUAAAUACUCUAUGUAUAAUUUAAGCCAGACUCACGCUCAUUACAAUCUUAAUUCAUUAUAAUCUUAAUUAAUGUGAUAUUUACUUAUGAUGAGUCGCAUAUUUUAAUUGUAACCGAUGACCAGGUUCGAUUCCUUCCCACGGCACUGACCGAUUCCCCGGAUGCACAGAGCACAGUCAUACUCAAAUUUGUUUUAUUUAUUUAUUUAGAAGUUUUACCAUUAAUGCUACAAUAAUUCCUUUUCAUUCAAUUUAAUAUUUAUUGUUAAAUUCAUAAAAAAGAGAAAAUUAGAUAUACUUGCAAAAGAAAAUUACUUUUUAGCUGAAUUAAUAAACACCUCUGUUUCAACUUUCAAAUGAAAUAAAAUAAAAGAAACACCUCCUGUUCGAGACUUCCCUUGUGAGAGUAUAUCUCUAAGCUCCAACAAAUAUAUUAGACUGAAUUAUGUUUUAAUUAAUUGUAUAAUAAUAGUUUCUAUUUGAUAUUAAUAAAUAAAUAAAUAAAUAAAAAGUACAGUGGCAAGAGUGAGCAGAAAAGCUCCCCCGCAAGCCUCAUUCUCGUAAAAAAACAUUUUUUUUAAUAGCAUAAACAGACUUGUAUAUCCCAUUCAGUAUAACUGAGAAAAACUCAGCUGUUCUGUAAUUGUAAGUGUCAAAAUCCCUCUGAUUUCCCGCAAUAAACCUCUAUAAUAUUUAACGGGACUGAAGCAUCUUCUUGUAAUCGUGGAACGUCCCAUGGAACGGUGUCGCCUUGCCUUCUGAUACAACCCAUAGCUCCUCUACACUUCCAGAUAUCAGAUGUUCGUCGUGACUAACCUGCGCGGUAGAAACAGGCGCAUUUUACAACAAAAUGUUUGAUAAAACAUGAUAUAGUUCAAUAAGCUUAAUGAAUUAUAUUUAUAUCAUUGAUUAAGUUUCGUGAACUAUAAUCAUGAAGAGAACAAGCAAAAUACCAUGAGAAUCCCUCCUUGGAACAAAACAAGGCCUUGAAUUAGUGCCUCCACUGCAUCCAAAUCCUACAUUUUGAAACAUCAGUAUGUCAAUCAAAAUAGCUGAAAAUUUUCACCAUUGCAAUAGUGGAUAAUAGAGUUAAAAUAGCAUCAAAACUCUGUUUCAAAAUAUAUACAUAUAUCCAAACUCUAUUUCCAACAUAAAUUCCACCUCCUUACCCCAGCAAAAUCUCAAAUCAUAUCUUAGCAUCCCGACUUUCUAGAGCAUGUUGGACAUUACUAAAAGACAAAAGAGAUGCAAAGAGAAGAUUGCAACUUGCAAGGUGAUUAGAUGGCUCAUCAAGCAAUAUUAUGUGUGGCUUUUUGAAUGUAAUCUUUGCAAAAGCAACUCUGCUUUUCUGGCCACCUAAUAUAGAAAUCGUAAAUACAAAGACACAUGAGAACCUGUACAUAAAAACCUAAAACCUUAUCAUUGUGAAGACUGGUGGUGCGCAGAUGACACCACACACAACAUAUGGCUUGUGUUAGUCAUGACAAUAACUAUAACAUGGCUUGCAUGCUACUUGUGGCAAGCCUUCAAUCCAAUACACAAUGCAAAAAGUCGAUUCAGACAAAAGUCAAACUCCAGUUCUACAAGAUCAUUAAAUAACCAAUGUAAUGUAUCAAUGACAUAAGAAGAUAAAAAAGGAAGCAUACCAGACAAAGUGUACAUCGGUUGAAGAGCAAGAUUUCCAGUUACACCAAAAGAACCCAAGUGAGCUCGAAGCUUCUGCUCAGGCACCCCCUGCAGGAAGAAAACUUCAAAUAAGGGAUUUGAUUACAUGAUAUUCUUUGAACAAUGGUAUUCUGAGAUCCAGGAUAACAACAAAUUAUGACUGCCAUAUGAACUUGACACUACAGAUUGUUUUCCACAAGGUGCACGCAUGUAUCCAUAGAUGCAUAAAUGUAAUGCGAAAAGGAAGAGGAGAGUACAAUAGCUUACAGGGAAGCAGCGCAUCAUGUACAAGAGGGGAUUUGAAGAUAGGUCUAGCCCAUCAACAUGGUGCUGACUGAACACAGCUAUGCGAACCUGUUGAGACAGAAAUGACAAUCCAUUAUAUCAAAGUAUACAAGACCCAGACCAAUUAUCCAAGAAUAAAAUAAAACUUUUACAAAGAUAUUAAGUGGAACAAUAAGUAAUGUAUAAAAGAGAAUCUGAUAAAUCCUACUGCACAGGGAAUGAAGGUCCAUGACAGAAAUACAAUUGGCAAGUGAAACUUAUUUUAGAUACAUGAUAGACAAGAAUCUGAGUUAAAAUUGCAAUUACUAUAUGAAAUUUCUAGAAAACAAGAAUAAGAUACCUUAGCUGAACGGAAAACUGUUCCAGAGCUUGGUUGUAGCUCACCAGCAAUAAGUUUGAGUAUAGUUGAUUUGCCGAUCCCAUUUGGCCCAACCACUGCAAAACAAUACAAACACCCGUAUCUAUAAUAAAUUGUACUUCGAAAUGAAUAAUGUGUUUCCAUUUAUUGUCAUCAGCAUACAAGUAAUACACAGAUAGCACCAUGUAUUCCAUUUAUAGAAUAAUGACCUUGUGUAUACAAAUUCAUUAAUGUAAAGCACAAAAGAUACAUGAUGUAAUUAACUAAUGUAUAAUCAAAAGCAAAAAGAGGGACAGGCAUGCCUACUUGCUAUCCGGCUGUCCAAAUCAAUCCCAAAAUUCAAAUUCUUAAAUAGUAUAGGCCCACCAGGGUAACCAAAUGAUGCAUCGCUGCAAUCACAUUCAAGAAGAUUAUUAGAUUCCAACAAGCUUGGGAUAAAAUUCAAGAUCCAAAUGUAAUUUUAACAGGGGAUAAAUUAGCAUUCUGAAUUUAAAGAAAAUUUGGUAAUACAUAGACAUAUACUGCUAGUUGAAAAUAAUUACAGCCACACAGCAAGGAACUUGUACUACUAGCAGAAGUGGAAAAAUUAAUUGCAAACCAAUAAUGCCUUUGAUACUCAAAAAACACAAAAGCACAGCUUAAAAACAUUUGUUCAACAUUCCCCCAGAUUAGCUGCAAAAUAUAACCUGAAACUUAUUAUAGGGGCCCCAGGUCUAUCGUCCGGAGUUGGGAACUCAAAUUUGUAGCUGCAUUGUAAAAACAAAAAAAUCAUUGGUAUAAGAGUAAAUCCAAAAGAGGAAAUUUGAAGCAAAAAUAUGCAAAGUCUAAACUUUAGAAAUUCUGGAAAAAGUUAAUGUCAACAGGAGAGCAGUACUUACUCAGGAUCAUUUACAACUUCAUCUACAUGACCCAUCCGCUCUAAUGCCUGACAAAGUCCAAGGGAACCAAAAGGCAAAUUAUUCAGCAACAUAGCUGGACUAGGAAUCAAGUCGAGAUCAACAUCGAAGUCAAAGACAUAUAAGUUAAUGAGAAAACCUUGAUUCUUGACUGAACAAGGGAUGCCCUCUUUGCAUUAUAUCGGAACUUAUCAAUAAAGGACUGCAUAAUCAAGGAAAAGCAUUUGCAUGUUAGAUACAAAUCAAUAUAAUCUGUGAAACAAGGUGGACAAUAGAAAUAAAAAGUAAAUUGCUUUCAAUGCUUUUUGGAUGAAGUGCAGCUAAGAAGACCUGCAUAUGUGCUCUUGAUCGUUCAUUAGACUCAAAUGCUUUCACUUGGUUUUUAAUCUGUUCCUCCCGGGUCCUCUCAAAUGUAUCAUAAUUCCCUUUGUAUGCAGUCAGUUUUUGACCAUGUAGAUGAAGAAUAUCUGUGACCACCUGAAAAUAAUAAUGAAUUGACAAGAACUAUCAGAAUAAAUAUAUUACUCGAGUAUAUUUUAUCCCUAACAGAGAAGAAAAAUAGCUCGAAAGAGUUACCGUGUUUAAAAACUCUCUAGCAUGAGAAACAACUAUGAAUGUUUUUGGCCAUUUCACUAGAUAAGAUUCCAGCCAUAGGACAGCAUGAAGAUCAAGGUGAUUCUGCCACAAAAAUACUUUAUAUAUAAAGCAAAUUCAACUGCAACAAUUCAUUCCAUAGAGAGCACAAACAUAACACACCGUAGGUUCAUCAAGCAGCAACAAAUCAGGCUCUAUAAAAAGAGCACGAGCCAAAGCAAUUCGCAUUCGCCACCCUCCUGAAAACGCUUUUGUUGCCCUGUGCUGCAUUUCUGGAGAGAAACUCAGACCCUGCAAAUGUCUGGUUAGUUAGAUAAAGAUUCAAAAUGAACAAGACAACAAUCAUGACUACUGUGCGUAUAAAUAGAACUCAUUUAAAGUAGCUCCACAUGCAUGACAUAUGACAACAGCAUGGUCAAUUGAUCCACAUUUUACACCAAUUCCUAGGCUCCCAUGUUACGUAGCUAAAUAUCUUCAUUAGUUUCAUUUAGGGAAAAAGCCAUCUCAACUAUUAACAACUAUAUUUGAGCGGCAAAUGUCUUUUCAAAUAAAAUUUCAAGCUCAAAUCAGCAGACAGCAUAAACUCAGCAAGAGAGAAAGAAAGUUUGAGAACUAACUGCAAGAAUAGAAGCUGCACGUGCUUCUGCAGAAUCUGCAUCAAUGAGCUCGAGCCUCUUGUAUAUCUCUUGAAGCCUUUGAGCAAUAGCAUCUUUGUCAAUUGAAACAUUGCUCUUUUCAGUAGUCUCCUCAAAAUCCAAUUCUCUCUUAAAAACAGUCACAAAAUUGUCAGUAGGAUGAAUAUACAGUAACUACACCAAGGACAAUACAGAAAAUUAAAAGGGAAAAAAAGAUAACAAGGCCAGGAACUGAAAACAAGAAUUUUCUCUGUUAUACAAUAGAACAGUAAAUAUUCUACCUGCAGUGCCAGCAGACGAGCUUCUUCUUCCAAAAGCUGAGUUCUUUCAAUAUCAGUGUUAAGAACGCAUUGCAAGGCUGUUGUGUCAUCACCUUCCACUUCUUGCUCAACAUGUAAUAUCUGGCAAUUUGGAGGAAUACCAUCAAUAGCAUGCAGAGCCAUGUGCCUGAGGAAAGUUGUUUUCCCAGUACCGUUUCUCCCGACAAGCCCUGCAUACAAUUGAAGUGAGGUUUUGUACAUUAAACACACCCAGCCACCAAACAACCGUCUCAAUUGAAAACAAAUAUAAGCAUUAGAACAAGAGCAUCGAUAAAAAAAUGGAAACAAACCCACCAUAAUGCCUUCCAAAAGAUAGUGUGAGUGAACCAUCAACGAUAAGAUCACGUCCACCUACAGAAACAUUGAAGUUGUCCAUAUGUAUAUCCUUCACGGCAGGUCCACCAUGUCUAUCAUGAUUCACACACACAACAGGCAUUCCAGCUCUAACUGCUUCCAUCUCUGCCAGAUGCAUUUGGUAUUGCGACUACAUGCAUAAAUUCAAAAGAACAAGUCAAAUCAAAACAACUAAGAUAUUCAUUGACACUAAACUAAUUAAAAUUAACCUCAAUCUAAUCAAAUACCCAGUGUAAAAUGUCUCACCUCUCGUUGGCGUUCCUCCUUCCUCUUUUUCCUCUCUAUCUUGGCUCUAUCACGUUCAGACAGCAAGGGACCAUCAGUCACCUCAGGCUUCUUCUUCGGAGCUUCCUCAUCCAUUCCAUCAUUCAUUCUCAAUGGCGUCGUGAGGCUGCGCACAGUUGGUUGCGGCUUUACCAACCCGUGCUUUCCAAACUUCUCAUUCAACUUACCACAAACCUAUCACAGAUAGGAGGCACUCUUCAAAUAAUAUUCAGAACAAUUUUUUUCUUUUAUUUAAAAAAAAAAAGAAAAGAAUGUAAAUAGAACUAGUAUAAUCUUACCAGGCGGCAUUCGUCGAAGUCGGAUACGCAUCCAGCGUUGACGAGGAGCUCGCCGAUGGCGUCGAACGCGCCCUCGCCUUCCUCGCCAAAAUCGAAGUCCUCAUCGGCGAGGACGUUGACGAUGUAAUCAAUAAUCGGCUGGUCUACCUCCUGGACUCUCCCUCCCAGUACGUCGAGAACAACUGAGCUCGCAACUUCGGUCAUCGGGCUCACUCAAUACUCUAACUAACGUAUUGCUAUGAGAAAAAUGUCGCGAUAAAAGGGUUUUUUUCCUGUGAAAGCAGAUGUGAAGCAAACCAACAGAACAGGGUUGGGCAAAAUAACACGGGACCCGCCGAUGAAUCACGAUGAUACGUUUAUUUGGUUUUUAACUUUAUAUUAUACCCCUAUUGUUUAUUGAAACGUUAUUUCUCCGGUGCGAACGUUGGUAUUUUUUUUAAUACGAACACAUUUUUAAACUUACGGCUUAAAAAAAUUAAUUAUUAAAUAAAUUAUAAAAUCAUGUGAUUUUAUAAAUUUUGUAAUUUUAAAAUGUCCGCGUAUAAAAUAAAUAGAAAUGUGCGCAUUAAAAAAAAUUAUAUUUAUAUAUUAAAUUCCUCUCGUCCGGAACGAAAAGAAUUCGGCCCAGACUCCAAAUCUCUCACUCAUCUUCCCAAAUCAUCUUCACCUUCGUCUCAUCUCCAUUUCAUCUUUUGCCCUAAUUCUCCCCCAAAUUCGCAUCUUGUUAUUGUUCAUUGUACGGACGCUCUUAGUCUCUUCUCUUUAAAUCUAAGAUGUUAAAAAAAAAUAAAAAAAAUCAAUUAAAGGCUUAAGAGUCAAUUUCGUUGCCCACCAAUCUUAGUCCUUCAAUAAAAGAUACUUCGAUUGAGUCCUGCAAUAACCCGUGAUUUUCCUCCCCUACAACAAUACAACUUCCCACUUGAGAAGUCGAACUAUAUACGCUUUUAACUUUUUACUUCAGCGCUGCCAAUGGGCCUGUAGCCCAUUCGCACGCCCCUCAACAACGCAAGACUCAAUCGGAAUAGCCAAAGUCUCGGCGCAGGAUCAGCGCUGGGAGUUAGUUGGCUCUUCAUAUUGAGGUAGGAUCGAUUUUUUUUUAAUAUUAAUAAUGAGAGUAAAUCUUUUUUUAAUUUAGUGAGAAUUAAUAUUCAGACUAUAUUGUAAUAAAAUUACUCAAGACAAGUCUCGACGAAUUUCUAAUUGUAAAAAAAACAACAAAAUCUAAUUUUCUCUUAUAUUAACUAGUGAAGAAUUUAAAUUCCUCUUAUAUUAAAAACUAAAUUUUUCAAAAUUUUCCUUUAAUUUUUUAACUUAUUUAAUGCCAUUAAUAAUUAUUAUUUUAGUUUUUCCAUGGAUCUCUACAUCUAUAUGGAUAAAAUUCAUAUCUAUGUCUAAUAUUAAAUACUGGAUAUGGAUAUGGAUAUAUCCAUUAUGGAUAAUUAUGGAUUUGUAUUUGGAUGGAUAUUAUCCAUACAUAAUUGAUAUUUGCUAUCCCUAGUGACACAGUCACACUUUACCUAAAAAGGAUAAUUAUACAUACAAUACAGAUGUGAUGUAAUAGCAGGAUCUAUAUCUAGAUAAACAAAAUUUGCUCUCCAAAACUAAUAACUUGCGUUUGGUACAUGUAUUGUAUUAUGUUGUAUUGUAUUAUUUUAAUACUAGUUUAUUAUAUUAUGUUGUAUUGCAUUAGUACUGUAUUAUAAUAAUUAUUUAUUGAAAUUCAUUUAUAUUUAAAUAUUUAUUAUUAAUUAUAAUAAAAUUAUAAAUUUAUUAAUAAUUAUAAUGUAAAAACAAAAGUUAAAGCAAAGGAAACGAAAGUCAAAGCAAAAGCACGUGAAAAGUGAAAACGUUAAAGGACAAAAAAAAAAAAAGUAAGCGGAGUUGCCGCAUUAGCUUAAACUAAUAAUAUUUUAUUAAAUUAAAAAAUUAUAUUUAUUUAUUUAUUAUUAUUUUAUUAAUAAGCAAAAACAAAAGUUAAAGCAAAGGAAACGAAAGUCAAAGCAAAAGCACGUGAAAAGUGAAAACGUUAAAGGACAAAAAAAAAAAAAAGUAAGCGGAGUUGCCGCAUUAGCUUAAACCCGACUCACAGUCGGGUUUAGCUAAUGCGGCAGUUUACUGCAUUAGCUUGGCCCAAUAAUGUAGUGUUGCUGUAACCUUUUAUCUACCAAACAUGGGCCUGUAUAAAUUUAAUACAAUGAGGAGCUUUAAUACAUCAACCAAACACACCCUCAUUGGGUGCAGCCCAUAGUAACAGCAUGGAAAAGUAUUGUUGUUGACAAUUAACAGCACAAUCUUUCCAAGAGCUGUAUCCCUGUGGAGGACAUGGGAAAGGUAUAAGAUCAUUCGCUGUUAAGCAUCAAAAUGAGAAUAAAAAUAAUCACCAUUACAAGUGAUUCUAUAAUAACACAAGACACAGACAACAAGAUUUAACCAAAACUUUCUUUCACUGACAAAGCAAAUUAGUCGAAGCCCAACAGCAAAAUUUAAUGGCUCAACAAGUGUUCAAAGAGCCACAAGACCAAAGCAUCAAAAUUCCAUAUCAACACAGUGUAACUAAUAACAUAUAUCACUAUUCUAAGCAAGUACGAAGAAAUAAGGAUUCAUGAGAUUACCUCACCGCACAUGCAUCAUAUAAUUUAAGAAUACAUGGUGAGUAAACGAAACUUGAAUUACACCCUAUACUAUGCCUUUGCUCGGUUAAAGUUGAAUAAAAUCAUUGGCUACACCGGCACUUCUGGCUAAGCUCUCAAACAAACCAUCUACUUCUAGUCUUUAUUCCUCUCCCCGCUCUUUCGAGAAUCGGUGGCGAGGCUCUAAAUGUACUUCAGCAAGCAUUUUUGACCAAAGCUCUUCAAAUUUAUUGUGGAAACCCUUCUGAAACCAUUCCAAAAUUUCCGAAUGCAGAACCCUGGGAUUCUCCUCCCAUGCCUUCUUUAACAUUGCACAGCUGUCAAUUGACUUGGUCUUUAACUUGUUCAGAAGUUUGCCAACCCGUCUUUGACCAGAUUCCUCUUUCUUUAAAAUGCUAUGAGGAUGAGCUACCAAAAACUUCUGAACAUAUCUUAAACACGGCAACACCCAACCUUCAAGCAAAGCACAUGCAAAUACUGCCACGCGAUGCUCAUCAUCUCUACUAACAGGCAGACUAUGCAAUGGGAGUUCCCAUUGAUGAGGCCCGAAUAAUGGAUUGACCCAAUAUAAUACUUGGUCUUUAUAACAGUCGUAAUUAUAUUUGGAGCCUUUGAGGGACUUUGAAAAAUGGCACAGCGGUCGAGCAUACUCAACCAGCCAAUCUGCUUUCACCCUUGUUGCUCCAUGCAUGUAUGGCCGUUUUGUAUGUAACAGUUCACUGUACACCAAGAACUCAGGGGCUGAGUUAGCAACAGAUGACCUACGAUGAAGGAACACAUCUUCUUUAACCAUGCAGGCUUGAUAACGAACUGCAUUAACUUUUCUCUCUCCUGCCGAUGAUCCUGACUUUGCCCUAAUGCGCUUCGCAACUCUAUCAGCCCAGCCAGCACAAACAGCUCGGCACAAGAGCUCUUCCUCAUUUUGUAAAAGAACGUUCUUACUAGAGGAAAUCCUCCAAGAGUGUUCUACAUCGCCCAAAGUUCCAUGAGUCCAUGAGAAAUCCUGAUCUGAAUUCACAUUUUGAUUAAAGAGCAAAUGAAGAAGCUGCUUUCUCAGCUUGGACAUUUCCUCCAUGGUUUUUAAAUGUAAAGCAUAUUCAUUGCAGAAUUCCACUGGGCUUUUAGAAAGCUCAAAGCACUGUAAUGCAUAAGCAACAGUCAAAACAUCACUGGUAGGAUUGGAAAAUUUUGCAUGAGACAGUUUAGCAACUUCUUUUAAUUUCCUUUUCCCCAACUUUUCUUGCCUGCACAUAGGAUCCUCACUAUCUAGAGCGUUAUCUCUCUCCUCGAGCUCUGAGUCAUUGCUAUUAGUUUGGGUUCCUUCCAACUGCAAGACAAAAGGAUUUGACACGCUCAAAGCUGCUGCUGCUGCAACUCCAUAUCCCAAAACUAGAUUCGCUCGGGCAUAACUUUUCACUUUCAUAGUUUGGAUAAGUGUAAGGAGCAUCCGGGAGUGGCGAGGACUCAUGGGGUAGUGAGCCAUUGCCUUUCCCAGGGCUGUCAGUCUUCCAUUGCUAUCAAGAGCUUCGAGAGCCUUCAGGCAGCGUUCUGCUUCAACCAAAGCAGUUGCCUCAGGGGGAGUUGGAAAUGGGAAAUUUGAAACCUGUAUACAUAUACAAGAAAAACACAAGUACUUUUAACAGUUAAAAAUGAGGAAAAGUCUCAUUCUAAAGUAAAAGAAACUUUACAUUGACUGGGUAGAUGACAAUAACCAAGACACCCAAAGCUUUUAGUUCUAGAUUUGGUUAUCUAUAAGAAAAAUAUAUUGUUUACCAUCUAUCAACUAACUGGUCAAGCACCACAGAGCAGUACUGUGCACUAUGUGCAGGCGGCUAGAUAACUACCUUGUGCAGUUUGUAGUUUAUACAGCACACCUUUCACCCAGUGAUAAAAAUUAUUUAGCCAAGAAAUUGCUAGAUUUUAAAGCUGUAAAAGAAAGAUGCCUUCAAAAGAAACCACCUAUCCCCCAAGAAAAGAACAUGCGGCCACCACUAAUACAACUAAUUGUUUCAUCAAUCCAAUACGAAACAAAUAAAAGAGUUUACUAAGCAGUAGUACAAGCACCAUAUUACGUACAAUACACACCUUAUCAAUGUUCAUGGAUUUCAUGAGAAGAACCACACCAUCAACAGGUACUUUAGAUAUUUCAGCACAAGAGAAGUCAGGAAGUAUGUUGUUGAAGACCGCAGAAGAAUACAGACGAUAGCAAUGGCCAGGCGCAGUUCUUCCAGCUCUUCCUGCACGUUGAGCAGCUGAGGCCUUACUUAUCCACUGAAUCUCAUAUGAUUCAAUACCAUUAGCAGAGUUAUAUUUCUUCACUUUCUCUCUUCCCGUAUCAACCACAUACUUUAUACCUGGGAUCGUCAAGGAGGUUUCAGCCACAUUGGUAGAAACAACAACAAGCCGCUCCCCUUCUUUAACAUCUUCAAAUACACGAAGCUGUGCUGCAGCAGGUAGCAUGGCAUAAAGAGGCAGAACACACAAUGCACCAACACCGGCCCUUUUAUUAUCUCCCAUCUUCUCCACAUCAGGAGAAGACAGCUCUGGGCAUUGUUCUGGUGUAGGAGUAGGUGGCAGCUCUGUGCAUUGUUCUGGAAUAGCAGGAGUAGACAGCUUCAUCUGAGAACUAGGGCCUGAUGCAUUUUUCCCAGACAAAACUUCAAAAGCAAGCUUAAGAGAACCAAGACUCCAGUUCUCUUUUAACACAUCUACAGGAACAUCACCAUCCAUUGGGCAUUUUUGUUCCACCAAUUUUUCAUCCUCCCCAAGUAUUUCUGUUUCACUUUCAGUUUCUGAAUCAGACAAAGCAUCCAACUCAUUGUCAUCAAUAUCAAACUGAUCUUCAUCAUAAGAACUAAACCUGUCAGUUUGCUGCUCAGUUGAAUAUCCUUGAAUCUCAAAUGCUUCAUUGAUCUCUUUCAUAUUAAUGUCCUUGGUGGCAUUUGGUUCAGAGUCAGCAACUACCUGAUUCCCUUUAUUCUCUUUAGAAGAAUUUACCAGCAGCUGCUUUGAAGCUUUACGUAACUUAGAGCAUAAGUAUUCUACCUCCCUCUGCCCAGUGACAAAUACAAGUAUGCCACCUUGUGGCAGCCUCUUGUGAAUGGACAUGACUUUUUUGUAGGCUUGGCCAAUAUAAUCAACAAUCUCCGUUCUCUUUGAAAAAUGUACAGUCACUGGAAACUGUCUGGUAGGGACUUCUAUAAUAGGAGGAUUACGGAAUAAUCUUCCUCCAGAAAUAAAGUCUUCUACUCGCAAGGUAGCACUCAUCAGAAUAAGUUUUAAUGGGAAAACCCUAUCUUUAGGUUGUAUACAUUGUCCUGAACACAACAACUGUUGCUGCUUCUCAUAUAGAGCCUGACACCAAAAGUAACAUCAUAUAUAUUAAGGAUAAAAAGAAAAGAGUAAUAGCCAUAAGUUUUGUUUACUAAGAGGCAAAGACAUCUGUUUUUAAGCUUCACCUGCCGAGGCUGAAUUAUACGAGAAAGCAUUCCAAUAAGUAUGUCUGUAUUCAAGCUCCUCUCAUGAGCCUCAUCCAGAAUUAUAACCGAGUAUUGUCUCAAUAAAACAUCAUACUGCAGCAUGCAAUCAAGCAAUGUGUUUAAUCAACCAUAUCCAAGUAAAUUUGGUAAUCAAAUACCAUAACACAUACAUCUGUUGUAAAAUGUGACAGUUACAUGCAGCGCAGUAUUCUUUAAAACAAGCCUCGAUAACUGUAGUGUUAAUAUGCCCGAAGUAUAAUUCUCCAUUACCAUGAUCCAGACGCAUAAUUCAAGAAGAAGAUUUGAAUAUUAAAUAGGAAAACCUGAUAGUACCAAAAAUUCAUAGCUACCAUAAACUAAACCCUAAUAUUUUCCUGUCUUUCUUUUCCUUUCCUCUUCCUAAUACAGAUAACUAUUAAAGGUGCACUGUCCAGUAGUCAGCUGGAGCUUAGCAGCAAGGUUUAGCACAGAGUUAAGAGUCUAAAGAAGAUAAUGCAAACAUUCACCAGAAAUGUUGAUAAAAUAUUCAAGGCACAUAUUUAAUGAAAUUCAAUAAAAUUACAUAUUCUAUUAGCAAACUAGAUAUAACAAAUAUAUUAAAUGUAUUUCAAAGGGACCAAAAAAAGAUAUAUAUAUAUAUAUAUAUAUAUAUAUAUAUGUCAACUACAUUGGUAGAUAUUAGCAUCCACUGAACAAAGAAUUGGUCAAGAAAUCAUAAGAGGAAAAACUAUUCUAUUGUAAACACUAUCACUAUUGAAUAGAUACCUAAAGGAUAUUUUAUGAUCAUCAUAUCAGCAAUACUUUACAUGAGCUAUUUCAGUUUUAAUAUUACUUGCAAAAGAUUGUAAUAUUUGGGAAAAGCAAAACCUUAAGUUCUCGUAGUAAUAUUCCAUCAGUCAUAAACUUGAUUGAGCAACUGUCUCCAAUUUUCUUGUCAUGCCUAACUUGAAAUCCAACCUCUUUGCCCAGAUGAAGUCCAAGCUCAAAUGCCACUCGCUUGGCAGUGGCAAGCACCGCAACACGACGUGGUUGAGUAACACCAAUUCUGCCACUUCGACUGCUACACCGAUUGGAACCAAAGCCAGCUUCAAAAAGGAACUUAAACAUACAAAAGAAAAAGAAAAGGAAGGAAGAAAUUAGGCUUCCUGGAAACCAAAAAAAAAAAAGAUUUUAUAUCCCAGCAUUUAUCUAUGACCAUUGACCAAGCAUCAUUCAAACCCACCUGAGGCACUUGUGUAGUCUUCCCACACCCAGUUUCUCCACAUAUAAUAACUGCAGAAUUGUCAUUUACAGCUUCCAUUAUCUCCUGCUCCAUCAUGACUAUAGGAAGAUCUUUCCUAUUGUUUUCAACCUCAUUUGGCCUUGAUACAUGCACCACAAUUGGGGCUGCAAGAGGUCUUUGCAAGGAACUUGGAAGAUUGCCAGUCAUGCUAGCAUUUAUAUUUAAGCUCUUAUAUGGUCCAUCCUGUCCCAAUCAAACCCACAGCAUCUGAUUAUAGGAUAAGAAUAAAGUGAUGUAUAAUAGAGAAAGAAAAUAUUUCUAUCACUUUAUAUGAUACAAUAAAUCAAACAUUACAGCAUGCUGCAAAGUAAGUGUAACAAAUGCAUAUCACUUGUGCAAAUAAGUUCAAAGUUUGACUUUAAUGGCAUUCAAUGAAUCUAAUUAUAAACCUUUCUGACGGUGGUAUUUUAUAUUAGUCAAUACCUAAAUAAAGCAAUUCCCAUUCCCUUUCGUUUUCCCUUACUCAGGCUUCCAAAGAUCCAUAUACUGUUUAGAGGGGCACUAAAGUUGUAGUGAAAUCCUAUACUUUAGAAGUUACUUUCACUAACACAAUAUCGUCAUGAAGGCACAACAGACAUUCAUUAUCUAUCUUAACCUAAAAUAUUCCAAUGUCCAACUUAGAGGAAUAAUAUUUGAGAAACGAAUUUCUCAAAUAAAUCAGAAAAUAAUCAGAAAUAAACAUUACUGGAUAUAUAAAAACUAAUUAUGUACUUUCUAUUUCUUUCCCAUAUCCAGAAACUAAAGUGGAUUUCAUGAUAGCACACAAGCAAACACAUAAUACUACACAACCGUUGAUCUAAGAAGCCCAAACACACGCACAACCCCCCCCCCCCCCCCCCCCAACCGAAAACGAGUUCCUUUCAUGAAAAAUAUAUAUUCAUGAAGUUCUAUUCUCUACAGAUAAGUAACAUACCGUUGACUUAGAACUGUUUCCACCAUCAUAAAUGGACAAAGCUGCAGUACUAUUUCUAAUGUCAUAUUCCAUACCCGUACUGUUGUCUUUGUUUGAAACCUCUUCAGGUGGUAGGGCAGCAACAAUUUCAUUGUUUGAACCAAGUUCAUCAUCGGGAAGCAACUCUUGAAAUGAGCCUAAUGAAAUAGAUGCACCAUCUACUUCUUUAUUACCAAUCAUUGGUUGCAGUGGUUCGUUUUCAUCAAUAUGUUGUCUUUGGAUUUUGACCAAGUCAGGUUCAGUUUCACCAUAAGCAUCACUUCCAUGCCUUUUCUUUGGAGCUCGGUCACUUUGUGGAUCUUCUAAACCUUCCUUGGAAAAUAGCACGGCGUUUCUUCUCUUUUCAAGCCUAGUUUUAGCCUACAAGAUGAAUUGCCAAAUAAGUAAACUAAUAUAACCUUAAUUUAAAUAUAAUGUCAAAAGUUAGCAUCGAUUCCAUCAUACAAACCUUACCAAUAUCUUUAGAUGCCUCCAGAACAUUAUAAAGACCAGUUGAAAUCUUGUAUUUCCUGAAAUUUUGAAGUUUAAGGUAUUUCUCAACUAUUCUAAGCUUUUUUUUUUCUGUAAAGGUAAAAUCUCAAAUAUAUUAACAUAUAAAAGAGAGGAUACGGUGACAUACUCUAGGUUUUCUUGGGCUUUCGAAAACAUGUAAGCUUUCUCCUUCUCCUCCUGCGUUAAUUAAAAGCAAAUCAAUCAUGGUAAAGUGCAAUUAGAAAACAAUGGAAGCAAGUAGCCAGAGAAAAGGGCCACCUCCAACUUUUUCAAUUUUGUUUGCUGGGAUUUGCUUUGAUUUGGAUAUUGCUUAGUUGUAGCCUUUUCCUGCUCCAGCAAAAAGGAAUUUUAAACAAAAAAGCUCUAACAGUAUAUAGAAGGAAAGAACUAUAGAGCUAAUAAAUUAUGUGCAUACCUUAUUCAUGCGUUUCUUUCGAUCAGUUUUAUUCGCUGUAAAAAUCAUUGCAUUGCAAUCAACACCCUCCAAGCUACAAAAUGCAAGAAAAAAACAUGCACGGUCAUAAAUUUAAAUAGCUAAAAAAACAAUAGAUAUAUCAGCUCAACAGUCGACACAAACCACCCAAUAGGCCAAUACAAUGAAUUUCACAACAGGAAGAAAUAUAGAUGAUUUUCUCCAUUAUUUGCCCAUGAAUCUAUUUACAUAAAUAGUUAAUUUCAUUAGAUAGUUAAUUUCAUUAGCCUGUAAAGGUAACAUGCCACAUGUGAUCAUUAUUAAAGAUAGCCAAAAAAAUUAAAAGGAAAAGAAAAAGAUUAAAAUUUAAUUUGUGUGCCAAUAUUAUCAAAGCUAAAACUUACACUAGCAGCUUCUGUUAUAAAAAAAUAACAUGUUAUUCACCUGCAUGAGCUCGGUCCACGCUUCGGUUUGCUCCUCUGCUUCCUUUUUGCCAUAAUUAGUUUGUUCUUCAAACUUGAAUCAACUAAAACUGGAAAAAGAAAAUGACACCACCAACUAUAAAAAUAGCUUAACCUAAACGUUUUUGGUGUAAUAAAUUUAACUCUCUGUUUGUCUCCAGGAAGAAGACUUUCAAUCCCUAGAAAUAUUUAUUUCAAUAUAACAGCAACAAAAUUGCAAUCCCUAGAAUUACUUAUUUGAGUACAAUGGCAACAACUCACAAGAGAUUGCUGCCGGUGCCAGGUAGGGGUGACUAAAUCGGAUUUCGGUUCAGGUUGUUCGGUUUGCGUUACAACCCAAUCGUGUUGAAAACGCAAAUUAAUUCGCUUCAGUUCAGUUUGGAUUCAUACUUCGGAUUGGUUUGGGUUGGUAAUUUCGGUUCAAAUUUCGGUUAGGGUUAAUUCGAGUUGGAACAGUUCAAUUCAAAAAAUUUGGGUUAAUUCGGGUUAGAAGUAAUAAUAAUGUAAAAAAAAUGGUUUGCUGAUUCAUAAUUUUGACUCAUUUGCUAAUAAUAAUAAUAAUAAUAAUAAUGUAAAAAAAUGGUUUCAAUUGAACUGUAUUGGCACGCCUGGGGUUACUCACAUUUACUAACAGCUUACUUACAAUAUGGCAUUAUUUACAACUCAAUGGUGAUUGACUGAUUGCUUUGAUAGUUGAUUGAGAGCGUAAAGAUUUGGCAAUUGGCAGAAUUAUAGAGCAUGGAAGAGAGCUUAAGAUCAAAUAAUUACUGACCUUGAUGUUGAUGAGUUGAUGGAUCGGAUGGAUUGGAAGCUAGGCAGAGAUGGAAGUGAGUCAAGAGACGGCAGCUAGUUUGGAAGCGAACGGCACAGGGUGAACGGCUGCGGGCUGCGAGCGUCGGCAGUGUGGGAGUGAGUCAGCCGCGAGCGCGAGGUGAACGGCUUUGGGCUGCGAGCGUGUAGAGGGCGUGCUGAGGGCGAGCGUGAAUUAACUACGAAAAGUGAAUUAACUACGAAAAGUGAAUUAACUACGAUGCUGAGUGGGGCCUUCUACGAUGAUAGGCGUGUCGUCUGUCUGAACGCAAUCUUAAACCGUCGGUGAAACGUAAAGCUAAUCGUACGGCUGCGGCACGGGUACCUUCCCAUAUCAGAAAGAUUUUGCAAAUUUGAUGAAGUGGACCGGUCAAAAUAUGGGCCGUGUGGGGCCGACGGCCAUGGUGUUUGCGAUUAGAGCUGGUAAAAUUUGACACGACCCGAUUACCCGACACGAACACGACAUAAAUAAAUGGGUAUGGGUCGUCAAAUUUAACACGAUUAUUAAAUAGGUCGGGUCCAGGUCAACACGAUUUUUUUUCGUGUCGGGUUUGGGUUAAAAUUCUUGACCCAUUUACCCGAUCAAUGACCCGAUUAUAUUUUCUAUUUUAAAAUAAUUUACAUAUUCUUAUAAUUAAAACUCAAAUAUUAGAGAUGAUUUUCUUUUUUUUUAUUCUUUAAAAGGGUGAAUAUAAGCACAAUGUUUUAUUUAUAAAAUUUUACAUAUAUUUAGAGUUUCAAUAGUGUAAAUGUGUAAAAAUUGAUAGACAUGUAUAUUUUAUAAUAUUGAUAUAUAAUAUAAUAUUAUAUAUAUAUAUAAAAUUAAAACCUCAAUAGUGUACAUGUGUAAUAUAUUGGUAGAUAUGUAUAUUUUAUAAUAUCGAUAAAUUAUGUAUGUAUGUAUGUAUGUAUGUAUUUAUGUACUUACGUAUGUAUGAUAGUGUAUAAAUAUUUGAUGUAACUUUUGUUCAAUAUAUAGAUAUUAAACAGGUUAUUGGGUAACCCGAUUAUUUUUCCGUGUCGAAUUUGGGUCUCAAUAUUUUGACACGAUUAUUAAAUGGGUCGGGUUUGAGUCCACUCAAAUUUGACACGACACGAACACGACCCUGAUUAUUCUUCAGUGUCGGGUUUGGGUCUUAAUAUUUUGACACGAUUAUUAAAUGGGUCGAAUUUGAGUCGAUCUAAAUUUGACACGACACAAAACUGACACGACACGAACACGAUCCGAUAACCCGUUUUGCCAGCUCUAUUUGCGAUGUAGCAGUCAAAGGACGCUGCCGUUCGGAACUUUGAAAUUUGUAUUAGUCCCCGACGUGCAUACACCAUCUGUCCACUCAACACAAGUUGCCUAAAGACAGGGAAUCGAAAAGGAAUAAAAAUAAAAAUUUAAAUAAAAACCAAUUACUAGAUGUUAUUUCGUCAUGCCAUUUGGUGAUGUACAUAUAUAUUAAGUUCAUCAAAUUUAUAAUUAGGCAUGAAUGAUUGUACCCUCAGGCACGGACAAAUAAUUAAAUUUUAUUAAAAUAACAGAAUUUAUUUCUUAAAAGAACAAAUCUAAAAAUUUUAAUAAGGGGAUUUUUAUUAAAUUUUAAAAUUUUACAAUUAUAAAUUUAUUUAGGGGUAGAAUUAUAAUUUUAUUAAAAUUAUUUAAUAGUGUUAAUGUAAAAGUGACUAGUUGAUACAAAUAUGAAAAGAAAGAGGGUGUAAAAUACAUGUUAAAAUUUUAUAGUGGUUGUAUGAAUAUAAGGCAAAAUAAAAGUGGUGCAAUGAUAAUUUCCCAUUUUUUAUUUUGACAGUUGUUCUAAAUUACAUAAAUAUUUUUCCUUGUAAUUUUUAAUUGACAAAUUGAACAUCUUUGGUAUUUUUGGCUUUCAAUUAUAUUAGGGUUGAUAAUUUUUUUUUAAUUAUGUUAUAUAUAGAUUGUUACUGACAGUACAAUUAAUAUUUACAAUCAUACUACACAAUUGGGACCGUCGUCGUACAUUAACACACUGAAACACUUGCCCAAAUACUUUAAACUCUCUCUAAUAUUCGAGGAAUGCCUACUCCACUCACAUUUCGUAAUAGAGAGAUUGUCUCCAUUCAAUUAUAUUGAUAAUUGGGGGAAUACUAAAACUAACUUCCAUAAAGCUCUUAUGAAGGCUUUAUACCCUUGCACUCAAUAUUGUAAAUGCAAAGUUUCUCUCAUUGGACCAAAGGCCCAUUGGUGGGUUGAUAAGUUCAAAGCUUUUCUCUUUUGUUGUUAACAUGAUUUUCAUUAUCCUUUUUUUUCCUUAGCGAUUUUCAAGAAUUACACAUAAUAGGGGGAACUAUUUGUGGGGUGAAUUUGCAAGAUGUAUUGCACCUUUUUUUUCUUUUUUCUUUUUUUUUUUAUAUGUGGUUUUGCUUUUGAUUUUAGCACCAAGCGGGGCUCUUACAAAUCAUCUAAAAGAAACUCAUGGACGUUGCAAAUAUGCUAGGCCUUAGGAACCGAGACCUCAGAGUGUGUCCAUUUUAGAAUUUGGAAUUGUUGGUGAUAGCAAGACACUUAACACAGUUGCGUUUCAAAAAUGCCAUCUUAUCAAGUCCUUUGCAGAUAAGGGUGGUGCUUAUCUCUAUGUUCCACUGGGCAAGUGGCUUACAAGCAACCUCACGCUCUUCCUUGAAAGAGGUGCUACCAUUCUUGGAUCCCAAAUGCCUGUAAGAAAAUUGUUUCCAGUUCACAUACAUAUAUUCGAGCCUUGGAAAGAAGCCCCUAACUUUGCAUAAUUUCUCACUCGCUCAUUUUCCUCGUUUUUAAGUGCAUAACAUUCUCCUUUUGCUGAUAAAGUAAUUUUCGGAACUAAAAGAAGAAAAUUUGGGUGAAUUUUCAGAUAUCGUGCUAACUGUUAUAGAUUUUAUAGGAUUAUACACUCAAGAAAGGAGUUGAACCUUUCCAUCUUAUGCAUGGUGGGAGAUACCAUAGCUUGAUUAACAGGCAUAACGUAACUAACGCGGUGACAAUAUGCAUGGAUUUUAUCUCUCUAUUUUUGGUUUAUUUGCUAACUUUGUUCCCUUUGUAGGCUUUUGAUAUAUUCCUUGUCUCAGGCUUACAUUCAACUGUACCACUGCCAGGUAAUGAUGCAAAUAUUGAUGGGUAGGGUACUAUCUG
rnacentral:lncRNA from 1 species